rnacentral:rRNA from 1 species
GAUGAACGCUAGCGGCAGGCCUAAUACAUGCAAGUCGAACGGUGUCUUCGGACAUAGUGGCGCACGGGUGCGUAACACGUAUGCAACCUACCUUACAUUGGGGGAUAGCCUUUCGAAAGGGAGAUUAAUACCGCAUAAGACAGUAGCUGGGCAUCCAGCAGCUGUUAAAGAUUUAUCGAUGUAAGCUGGGCAUGCGUCCAAUUAGCUAGUUGGUGAGGUAACGGCUCACCAAGGCAAUGAUUGGUAGGGGAACUGAGAGGUCAAUCCCCCACACGGGCACUGAGGUACGGGCCAGACUCCUAGGGGAGGCAGCAGUAGGGAAGAUUGGGCAAUGGACGCAAGUCUGACCCAGCCAUGCCGCGUGCAGGAUGAAGGCGUUAUGCGUUGUAAGCUGCUUUUAUACAGGAAGAAACGACUCUUGCGAGAGGCAUUGACGGUACUGUAUGAAUAAGCACCGGCUAACUCCGUGCCAGCAGCCGCCGUAAAAC